rnacentral:tRNA from 1 species
GGUCGUUCUGGAGGGGGAGUGGCUCCCGGUCUUUCAGGUGGAUCGCCCCAUCCCCGCGUUCCGGGUCGAGGGAGCUUCCU